rnacentral:rRNA from 1 species
AGUGAACGCUGGCGGCGUGCUUAACACAUGCAAGUCGAACGAGAACGGAUUAUAGCUUGCUAUAAUUGUCAGCUAAGUGGCGCACGGGUGAGUAAUGUAUAGGUAAUAUGCCUCUUACUAAGGGAUAACAAAUGGAAACGUUUGCUAAUACCUUAUACUCCUUAUUAACAUAAGUUAAUAAGGGAAAGAUUUAUUGGUAAGAGAUUAGCCUGUAUUGUAUCAGUUAGUUGGUGGGGUAAUGGCUUACCAAGACUAUGACACAUAACUGGUUUGAGAUGAUGAUCAGUCACACUGGAACUGAGACACGGUCCAGACUCCUGCGGGAGGCAGCAGUGGGGAAUAUUGCACAAUGGAUGGAAGUCUGAUGCAGCAACGCCGCGUGGAGGAUGACACAUUUCGGUGCGUAAACUCCUUUUAUAUGAGAAGAUAAUGACGGUAUUAUAUGAAUAAGCACCGGCUAACUCCGUGCCAGCCGCCGCAGUAA